UUUGUCCUGACGUGACGUGUCCUGACAUGCCCCGAUAUGCAUGCUUUCCUUUGUUAACGCUUUGUAUUUUGUCUUUUUUUGACAAGGAACAUUGUCGCCUUGACGAUAGUGCUGCCCUGAGUUCUGCGCGCGUUGAUUUGUUGAGUGCCUAGUCCUCUUAUUAGCCGUUGAUGGAGUUACAUGUUAGGAUGUUUUGUUCUUUUGCAAGUCUCAUUUAGUAAGACUUUGGAAUUCCUACGAUCAGUUUUCAUGCAUGGUGCUCUUCUGCAAUAGUUUCCUAUGCAAUCGUUAUAGAAGAAUAAAGGAAAUAAUCUUGGGAUAGUGAUUCAAUAAAUAAUAGGUCCCCUGUCUACAGCGCACGCGUCCUUGAGCCACGCAGGUGCAUGAUGACGUCAUACCGUGGCUUCACUGCAGAUUGACCAAAGGAGCAUUAGUGGAAAAAACAGUGUAGCCCUGAGACAAUAGGAUGAUGUCUGGACCAAUGAGAACGGCCAGCAGGGGGCGCAGGAAUGCUCUUCUCACUUAGCCUCACGACCAAUGAGCAACGAGAGAAGAGGGCGCAGGAAUGCUCUUCUCUCUUAGCCUCUCGCAGGUGGCGGUAGGAGCGCGCAGAGGGCGCUACGAGCGCGCGCAUGCGUAGCACCCGUAGAGUGGCGCUUACGUCAGUCCACCUCUGGCUCUCGUUGGGAGAAGACGUGCGGUCGUUCGCUCCGUCGUCACUUGAUCCCUGGCUGUCGACGAGAGCAGUCGCAUCGGUCUGCGCUCCUACUGUGAGCUGUCCUAACUUGCCCAGACAUGCCGUGAUGACGUCACAGCUGACGUCACAGGAUGUCCGGAACUGGUGGUCAUAGCUGCGAUGCUUUGCAACCUGCCUCUGUGCUCCGUCGCCCAGCGACGGUCAGCGGCCUUUCCGGACCGCUUUCUUCAAGAUGGCGCCGUUGAUCUUCAAUUAAACUCCUUCUCUCCACUCUA